rnacentral:rRNA from 1 species
CCUUAGAGUUUGAUCCUGGCUCAGAGCGAACGCUGGCGGCAGGCUUACACAUGCAAGUCGAGCGGGCCCUUCGGGGUCAGCGGCAGACGGGUGAGUAACGCGUGGGAACGUGCCCUUCGGUUCGGAAUAACUCAGGGAAACUUAAGCUAAUACCGGAUACGCCCUUAUGGGGAAAGGCUUGACUGCCGAAGGAUCGGCCCGCGUCUGAUUAGCUAGUUGGUGAGGUUAUGGCUCACCAAGGCGACGAUCAGUAGCUGGUCUGAGAGGAUGAUCAGCCACACUGGGACUGAGACACGGCCCAGACUCCUACGGGAGGCAGCAGAAGGG